rnacentral:rRNA from 1 species
UAGGGAAUAUUAGAAAUGGACGGAAGUCUGAUCUAGCAACACCGCGUGUGCGAAGAGGGCCUUUGGGUCGUAAAGCACUUUUUGGAAGGAAUAGGAAGGAAUGUACUUCCAGAAUAAGUCUCGGCUAACUACGUGCCAGCAGCCGCGGUAACACGUAGGAGGCAAACGUUAUCCGGAUUUACUGGGCGUAAAGCGCGUGUAGGUGGUACUGUAAGUAGGGCGUGAAAGCUCCUGGCUCAACUGGGAGAGGCCGUUCUAAACUACAGAACUAGAGGAUGGUAGAGGGAGGUGGAAUUCCAGGUGUAGCGGUGGAAUGCGCAGAUAUCUGGAGGAACACCGGUGGCGAAGGCGGCCUCCUGGACCAUUCCUGACACUCAGACGCGAAAGCUAGGGUAGCAAACGG